AUUGAACGCUGGCGGCAUGCCUUACACAUGCAAGUCGAACGGUAACAGGUUAAGCUGACGAGUGGCGAACGGGUGAGUAAUGUAUCGGAACGUGCCCAGUCGUGGGGGAUAACUGCUCGAAAGAGCAGCUAAUACCGCAUACGACCUGAGGGUGAAAGCGGGGGAUCGCAAGACCUCGCGCGAUUGGAGCGGCCGAUAUCAGAUUAGGUAGUUGGUGAGGUAAAGGCUCACCAAGCCGACGAUCUGUAGCUGGUCUGAGAGGACGACCAGCCACACUGGGACUGAGACACGGCCCAGACUCCUACGGGAGGCAGCAGUGGGGAAUUGUGGACAAUGGGCGCAAGCCUGAUCCAGCCAUGCCGCGUGCGGGAAGAAGGCCUUCGGGUUGUAAACCGCUUUUGUCAGGGAAGAAAAGGUUCUGGCUAAUACCUGGGACUCAUGACGGUACCUGAAGAAUAAGCACCGGCUAACUACGUG
rnacentral:rRNA from 1 species